rnacentral:rRNA from 1 species
AACGCACCUUGCGCCCCUUGGUAUUCCGAGGGGCACACCCGUUUGAGUGUCGUGAAAAUCUCAACCUUCUUGGUUUCUUCUGGAGACCAAAGGAGGCUUGGACUUUGGAGGCGUUUGCUGGACUUUCAAAAGGCCAGCUCCUCUUAAAUGUAUUAGCAGGGUCCUCUUUGCCGGUCCUUGACACGUGAUAAGAUGCUUCCGUGUCUCGGUUUCUGGCUCUGUCACCUUCGGGACCCGCUUCUAACUGUCUCCUCGAGACAACGCUCGAGGAAACCUCCUCGACCCCACGAACCCUUGGCCUCAAAUCGGGUGAGACUACCCGCUGAACUUAA